rnacentral:piRNA from 1 species
GCCAGAGAUUGGAUUCUGGUCUGUGUGCUU